rnacentral:rRNA from 1 species
GACGAACGCUGGCGGCGUGCUUAACACAUGCAAGUCGAACGGAAAGGCCCUGCUUUUGUGGGGUGCUCGAGUGGCGAACGGGUGAGUAACACGUGUGUAACCUGCCCUUGACUUUGGGAUAACUUCAGGAAACUGGGGCUAAUAUCGGAUAGGAGCUCCUGCUGCAUGGUGGGGGUUGGAAAGUUUCGGCGGUUGGGGAUGGACUCGCGGCUUAUCAGCUUGUUGGUGGGGUAGUGGCUUACCAAGGCUUUGACGGGUAGCCGGCCUGUGAGGGUGACCGGCCACAUUGGGACUGAGAGACGGCCCAGACUCCUACGGGGGGCAGCGGUGGGGAAUAUUGCACAAUGGGCGGGAGCCUGAUGCAGCAACGCUGCGUGCGGGAUGACGGCCUUCGGGUUGUGAACCGCUUUCGCCUGUGACGAAGCGUGAGUGACGGUAAUGGAUAAAGAAGCACCGGCUAACUACGUG